GAUGAACGCUGGCGGCGUGCCUAAUACAUGCAAGUCGAGCGAAUGGAUUAAGAGCUUGCUCUUAUGAAGUUAGCGGCGGACGGGUGAGUAACACGUGGGUAACCUGCCCAUAAGACUGGGAUAACUCCGGGAAACCGGGGCUAAUACCGGAUAACAUUUUGAACCGCAUGGUUCGAAAUUGAAAGGCGGCUUCGGCUGUCACUUAUGGAUGGACCCGCGUCGCAUUAGCUAGUUGGGGAGGUAACGGCUAACGAAGGCAACGAUGCGUAGCCGACCUGAGAGGGUGAUCGGCCACCCUGGGACUGAGACACGGCCCAGACUCCUACGGGAGGCAGCAGUAGGGAAUCUUCCGCAAUGGACGAAAGUCUGACGGAGCAACGCCGCGUGAGUGAUGAAGGCUUUCGGGUCGUAAAACUCUGUUGUUAGGGAAGAACAAGUGCUAGUUGAAUAAGCUGACACCUUGACGGUACCUAACCAGAAAGCCACGGCUAACUACGUGCCAGCAGCCGCCGUAA
rnacentral:rRNA from 1 species